AGAGUUAGCCGUCUCUUCCUCUUGAGGUACUAUCAACCUUGCACGCUUCUCACGCACAAGGCUUGCUCCCUCAUGACAGCGGUUUACAAUCCGAAGACCUUCUUCCCUCACGCGGCGUUGCUGGGUCAGGCUUGCGCCCAUUGCCCAAUAUUCCCCACUGCUGCCUCCCGUAGGAGUCUGGACCGUGUCUCAGUUCCAGUGUGGCCGAUCAGCCUCUCAGCUCGGCUACCCAUCGUUGGCUAGGUGGGCCGUUACCCCGCCUACUACCUAAUGGGACGCGAACCCCUCCUUCUGCGGAUUGCUCCUUUGACCCCUGAGCCAUGCGACUCUGUGGUCUUAUGCGGUAUUAGCACUUGUUUCCAGGUGUUAUCCCCCUCAAAAGGGCAGGUUGUUCACGCGUUACUCACCCGUUCGCCACUAGCUAUAAAUCCGAAAACCUAUAGCCCGUUCGACUUGCAUGUGUUAGGCACGCCGCCAGCGUUCGUCCUGAGCCAUAAUCAAACUCUGA
rnacentral:rRNA from 1 species